CUUUUAAUUAUUUUCAUUAGAUAGAGGAACGUACCAUCACCACACAGAGAGUUUUCCAAGAUCGACAGUAUCAGAUUGAUGCUGCAAUUGUUCGCAUUAUGAAGAUAAGGAAAACACUGACCCACAGUGUACUUCUCUCAGAAUUGUAUAAGCAGCUAAAAUUUACACUACAGCCUUCUGAUCUGAAGACGAGAGUAGAAUCUUUAAUUGACAGAGACUACAUGGAAAGAGAUAAAGAAAAUCCAAACGAGUACAAGUAUAUUGCAUGAACUUCUGGCCUUACUAUUUCUACUUAUAGUAGUUGACUCAUAGUCGUGUUAAUUGAUUCAAAUAUUCCACUGACACAUGAAUAAAAGCGGUGCAUUAAAAUACAAAUGCAGAAUUAAAUUUUCAUCAGCAUUCUCAGUUAACGUAUGCCGUUAUCUGAAUGACAUGUAUUUUUAAUGUUGCUAUUAAACUAUACGUAAUGAUCUAAAACUCCCUGGAAAAUUUCGUAAUGUUUCGUAUACUGUCUGUCCUUCAUUUCAGUAUAUAUUGAUGACAUGUAGUAUGCAUUAGUUUAAUAAAGAAUAAGUUUCAUAAAAAGCAACAUAUAUCCGUAACUGUUUAAGUGUAAACUCGCACUGUGAAUUAUACAUCUGGAUGAUUUAAACUCUAUUUGAAAUUAAGUAUUAAAGCCAUUUAUUUGUCCUUA